rnacentral:misc_RNA from 1 species
AAUGUGAUUAUUCAAGGGUUUCUCCGGCAUGGGUAUUUACCAAAAGCAUCUGAACUUAUUGAUGAAAUGGUUGAGAAGGGAUUUUGUGCAGAUGACACUACUACCGAAUUGGUAGUACAUUUAUUGCGCAAUGAUGAUCCCAUUCUGAGAAUACUUCAAAAUCAUUUUGAAGCUCCAAAAGGUGUAAAUUUUAAGUGAGAUUUUAAAAAUCAACACCUGAUCAACAGAUGCAAGAGGUCUUGUUAUAUUGUGAGUUAUUGGUACUUUAAUCUAUUUCAUAUUACAAUUACAAUCCCUCUAUUUAUUCUUUUGCUUUUUACAACAAACUGUUUAGGAUUAGCACUCAACUCAUGUUUUUAGGCUGUAUAAGCAGAUUAACUUUAAUGAAUCUGUUUCAAUACUACAUUGGUCUGAAAUAAUAAUUAAAAACAAAAAAACUCCAGUUUCCCAUAUACAAUGACAAAAUCGUGUGUGUUCUGUUAUGAAUGCCUAUUUUCACUCAAUUUGAAAUUCAGUUCUCUGGUAUAACAAUCGGGACUUUUACCUAGCUUUUUUAGGUGUCAAAUCAUUUAUUGUCAAGUAUAAAAAAUCAGAAAGGGCAAGAGCAGCAAUUUCUUUUCUUAUUUCAGUGUCAUGCUCAACUCGAAAUUUUUGCUUUUCCUUAUUAGUAUACCAUGUGAAGUGUACAAAGUGUGCAACAAAAUGGAAGAGGUGUAUUUUCCAAAUGGUUGUUGUUAUAACAUGACCAUUCAAGGGUAUCUGGAGCGCUAGGAUUGACCAAUGGCCGGCUAGACAUCUUCUCAAUGAAAGUGUUUCUGGACCAUCUGUUUGCUAUUGUAGGCUCUGUUAUGACCAAAUAUACCACAGCCUUCAGAGAAACAGCUUACAUGAUUUGAUUUCAAACAGCAAGAAACAUACCACACCAUUGUAUUUUAAAAUUUUAACUGUUUUUAGGUUGAUCUCUGACAUCUUCAUGAUUUGCUUUCAAACAGCAAGAGACAGCUUACUUGUCUUGACUUUAAAAGAACUAGGAGACAAGACAAAUCAGAAAUCUUACUUAAAUUGCUUUCCACUUUAUCUUUAGAUUCUUGACCUUUGAAAUUGAUAUGUAAUACGAGUGAAAUCUGGUCAAGGAAGCAGUAGCUUCCUAGUGUUCUUUGAAGUGGAAGGAGUAUUUAUACCAGUUUGAUGUUGGUCAUUGCUUAGAUUCAAUAUAUUUGCUGUUUGAGAAAUUAUGGUGUAUUAAGGAACUAGAAUGCUGUGCACCACAGAUUACAUUAAUUAUUUUUAUUUCUCAGAACAAAAUCGUUAUUUUGUUGGUAUGAAUUCUGGUCUACUGAACUGACAUGCUUCUUUUUCCCUUUUUCAGGCUGAGCACAUGCUAAAUGUCAGAUUAUUAAAAUUUAUGAACAUGAUUUGCUUGAGAUCAAGCUAAUGUGAAGUGCCAAUUCUUGGCACAGACGGUGGUUAAUGUACAAUCUGCAACCCUAGGGGAAAUACCUCUCAACCCAGUUUUUGCAGAAAAUGCAUUCUGUAAUCCUGUGAUUUGGUCACUUCCUUCUUGAUUUACUUCAACUUCUGUCACUUGGAAUAUAUUUAUUUGUAGUUGAUGAAGUAAUUACUUUUUGUGAAUCUCUCUCUUUUACAUGUUCCAUAUUUUCCACGCAUCUAACUUUCUCUUAUUCACGUCUCAUUUCACUCAUUUUGAGAUUCAGUUAUCUGGUAUAACAAUUUGGUAUUAUACCUAGUUUUGUGAGUUAUCAAAUAAUUUAUUGUCAUGUAUGCAAAAAUCAAAGAUGACCUAUUAUUUAAAUUUAUUAAUGUAGGAAUUAUUGAUGAAACAUAGCCUUGAGAAAAACUGGGACAUACAAGGAAGUUCUUCUAUCUCUGUUGUGUCUUCUUUUCCAUGAAUUUGAAAAAUAUUAUGGUAAUUUCCAUCAAUUUAAUGCUAUUCUUUAGGAUCGCUGUACAAGUUCAUUAACUAUUUUGGUUGAUUUUUAGACUGCUGGUUGGACGAGUAUAGUUUUGUAAACAGUGAAAAGGUUUCCACUUAUUGAUAUUUUUGCUUCUAAUCAAUAUGACUUAUUGUUGUUUAUUGAUAAUGAUCAUACUCAUCACGCUUUGUGCUUCAG